rnacentral:misc_RNA from 1 species
GAAGGACAGGUGGGCACAAUUCUGUUAUUAACCUUUUCCUCCAGAAAUUUCUUGGGUCUUCUAGAAUAUACCCACCAGCGCUGAAUUCCUUUUCCUCUGCUUGCAGUCCCAGCUAGACCCAAGUUCCUAUCAUUGUUCAAUGUCCUUGGCCUCUGAAUUUCACUCAAAAACUGAAAGUCUAUUGUUGGAUGCAUUGAUACUCUUGUUCAUCACAGAUUAACAUAUUGAUGUUUGUAGUAUAGCAUCUGCUUUCUGUUAAUGGUUGAAUAUUGUCAUCUCAGUAGAAGAUUUCAACUUCAUAGUAUCUGCAAUUAGCCU